rnacentral:rRNA from 1 species
UUCCGGUUGAUCCUGCCGGACCCUACUGCUAUCGGGGCGGGACUAAGACAUGCAAGUCGUGCGUCUCUAAGCUAUGGUAGAGACGCGGCGUACGGCUCAGUAACACGUGGCUAACCUACCCUUAGGACGGAGACAACCCCGGGAAACUGGGGCUAAUACCUGAUAGGUGAGGAGGCCUGGAAUGGUUCUUCGCUGAAAAGGCGUUGAAGCCAUGCUUUUCAACGUCGCCUAAGGAUGGGGCCGCGUCCGAUCAGGUUGUUGGUGGGGUAACGGCUCACCAAGCCUAUAACCGGUACGGGCCGUGAGAGCGGGAGCCCGGAGAUGGGCACUGAGAUAAGGGCCCAGGCCCUACGGGGCGCAGCAGUCGCGAAAACUCCGCAAUGCGCGAAAGCGUGACGGGGCUACCCCGAGUGCCGUCCGCUGAGGAUGGCUUUUCCUCGGUGUAAUGAGCCGGGGGAAUAAGGAGAGGGCAAGUCUGGUGUCAGCCGCCGCGGUAAUACCAGCUCUCCGAGUAGUAGGGACGAUUAUUGGGCUUAAAGCGUCCGUAGCCGGCUUAGCAAGUUUCCUGUUAAAUUCAGCGACCUAAUCGUUGAGCCGCGGGAGAUACUACUAGGCUAGGAGGCGGGAGAGGCCGACGGUAUUCCCGGGGUAGGGGUGAAAUCCUAUAAUCCCGGGAGGACCACCAGUGGCGAAGGCUGUCGGCUAGAACGCGCUCGACGGUGAGGGACGAAAGCUGGGGAGCGAACCGGAUUAGGUACCCGGGUAGUCCCAGCUGUAAACGAUGCGGGCUAGGUGUUGAGGUGGCUACGAGCCACUUCAGUGCCGCAGGGAAGCCAUUAAGCCCGCCGCCUGGGGAGUACGGCCGCAAGGCUGAAACUUAAAGGAAUUGGCGGGGGAGCACCACAAGGCGUGAAGCUUGCGGUUCAAUUGGACUCAACGCCGGUAAUC